AAUUAGCAUAUCAUUAACGGCAGAAUUUAAAUAGCUCUGAGAUACCAUGAAUCCCAUCCUCCUUUGAAAGAAGAUUUCUUCUUCCAGUCAUCUGUCUUAGGAGCCUACAGCCAUGAAGCUCUAUCUUAUAGCUUUUCUGGUGGCUUUUCUGCUUGCCCUGGCAAGAGCUGACAGUUCAUCUGAAGAGGACAGUUUUCGGCACCGAAGACCUCGGUGGUAUCCAGAAUAUCCUCAGUUUCCUAGAUAUCUUCCAGGUUAUCCAUAUCCUGAUCCUCCCUAUAAUCCAUAUCUUGGAUAUCCUGAAAAUGCUCCAAUUGCACCAUAAGGACCUCAAUAAACAGUGGCCUACCUGGAUGACAGACUCAAUCUAUCUAUGAACCUACAAAUCUACAAAUUUGUGAAUCUCUCCAAUUAUCUACUUGUGCAUUAGAUAGUAGCACUAAGAUUGUUAGAUCAACAUGAAUCAUUACCACACAGAACUAAUACUCUUCUUAACAUUCUCCAAAUAAUAAACACAACUUAUAGCAUAG